AGUGAACGUUGGCGGCGUGGAUUAGGCAUGCAAGUCGAGCGAGAACCGUAGCAAUACGGGGACAGCGGCGAAAGGGACAGUAAUGUGUAGGUACCUACCUCCGGGUUCGGGAUAGCUGCGGGAAACUGCAGGUAAUACCGAAUAACGUCUCCGGACCAAAGGUGUGAUUCCACCUGGAGAGGGGCCUGCAUCCUAUUAGAUUGUUGGCGGGGUAACGGCCCAGCAAGGCGACGAGGGGUAGCGGGUGUGAGAGGACGACCCGCGUCAUUGGGACUGAGACACUGCCCAGACACCUACGGGUGGCUGCAGUCGUGAAUCUUCGGCAAUGGGCGCAAGCCUGACCGAGCGACGCCGCGUGCGGGAUGAAGGCCUUCGGGUUGUAAACCGCUGUCGUAGAGGAGGAAAUGCAGGGGGGUUCUCCCCUCUGUUUGACCUAUUCUAGGAGGAAGUACGGGCUAAGUUCGUGCCAGCAGCCGCAGUAA
rnacentral:rRNA from 1 species